CCUACGGGAGGCAGCAGUGGGGAAUAUUGCACAAUGGGGGAAACCCUGAUGCAGCAACGCCGCGUGAGUGAAGAAGUAUUUCGGUAUGUAAAGCUCUAUCAGCAGGGAAGAAAAUGACGGUACCUGAGUAAGAAGCCCCGGCUAACUACGUGCCAGCAGCCGCGGUAAUACGUAGGGGGCAAGCGUUAUCCGGAUUUACUGGGUGUAAAGGGAGCGUAGACGGCGAUGCAAGUCUGAAGUGAAAGCCCGGGGCUCAACCCCGGGACUGCUUUGGAAACUGUAUGGCUGGAGUGCUGGAGAGGCAAGCGGAAUUCCUAGUGUAGCGGUGAAAUGCGUAGAUAUUAGGAAGAACACCAGUGGCGAAGGCGGAUGACUGGACGACAACUGACGGUGAGGCGCGAAAGCGUGGGGAGCAAACAGGAUUAGAUACCCCUGUAGUC
rnacentral:rRNA from 1 species